rnacentral:rRNA from 1 species
AGCGAACGCUGGCGGCAGGCCUAACACAUGCAAGUCGAACGAAAACUUCGGGGUUAGUGCCGCACGGGUGCGUAGCGCGUGGGAAGGUGCCUUUGGGUUCGGAGUAACUCAGGGAAACUUGUGCUAAUCCCGAAUGUGCCCUUCGGGGGAAAGAUUUGUCUCCGUUAGAGCGGGCGGCGUCUGGUUAGCUAGUUGGUUGAGGUAAUGGCGCAUCAAGGCGCCGGUCAGUAGCUGGGCUGCGAGGAAGAUCCGCGACAUUGGGACUGAGACACGGUGCAAACUCCUACGCGAUGGAGCAGAGGCGGAUCUAGCGCAAUCGGGGAAAGCAUGACGGAGCUAGGCCGGGUAAAUGAUGAAGGUCGGAGGAAAGUGAGAUUCUUUAACCGCGGACGAUAAUGACGGUACCCGCAGAAGAAGCCCCGGCUAACUUCGUG